rnacentral:rRNA from 1 species
GGCGGCGUGCCUAAUACAUGCAAGUCGAGCGAACAGACGAGGAGCUUGCUCCUCUGACGUUAGCGGCGGACGGGUGAGUAACACGUGGAUAACCCACCUAUAAGACUGGGAUAACUUCGGGAAACCGGAGCUAAUACCGGAUAAUAUAUUGAACCGCAUGGUUCAAUAGUGAAAGACGGUUUUGCUGUCACUUAUAGAUGGAUCCGCGCCGCAUUAGCUAGUUGGUAAGGUAACGGCUUACCAAGGCAACGAUGCGUAGCCGACCUGAGAGGGUGAUCGGCCACACUGGAACUGAGACACGGUCCAGACUCCUACGGGAGGCAGCAGUAGGGAAUCUUCCGCAAUGGGCGAAAGCCUGACGGAGCAACGCCGCGUGAGUGAUGAAGGUCUUCGGAUCGUAAAACUCUGUUAUUAGGGAGGAACAAAUGUGUAAGUAACUAUGCACGUCUUGACGGUACCUAAUCAGAAAGCCACGGCUAACUACGUGCCAGCAGCCGCGGUAAUACGUAGGUGGCAAGCGUUAUCCGGAAUUAUUGGGCGUAAAGCGCGCGUAGGCGGUUUUUUAAGUCUGAUGUGAAAGCCCACGGCUCAACCGUGGAGGGUCAUUGGAAACUGGAAAACUUGAGUGCAGAAGAGGAAAGUGGAAUUCCAUGUGUAGCGGUGAAAUGCGCAGAGAUAUGGAGGAACACCAGUGGCGAAGGCGACUUUCUGGUCUGUAACUGACGCUGAUGUGCGAAAGCGUGGGGAUCAAAC